rnacentral:rRNA from 1 species
AGUGAAACGCUGGCGGUAGGCCUAACACAUGCAAAGUCGAAGGGCAGCACAGAGGAGCUUGCUCCUUGGGUGGCGAGUGGCGGACGGGUGAGGAAUACAUCGGAAUCUACUCUGUCGUGGGGGAUAACGUAGGGAAACUUACGCUAAUACCGCAUACGACCUACGGGUGAAAGCAGGGGAUCUUCGGACCUUGCGCGAUUGAAUGAGCCGAUGUCGGAUUAGCUAGUUGGCGGGGUAAAGGCCCACCAAGGCGACGAUCCGUAGCUGGUCUGAGAGGAUGAUCAGCCACACUGGAACUGAGACACGGUCCAGACUCCUACGGGAGGCAGCAGUGGGGAAUAUUGGACAAUGGGCGCAAGCCUGAUCCAGCCAUACCGCGUGGGUGAAGAAGGCCUUCGGGUUGUAAAGCCCUUUUGUUGGGAAAGAAAUCCAGCCGGCUAAUACCUGGUUGGGAUGACGGUACCCAAAGAAUAAGCACCGGCUAACUUCGUGCCAGCAGCCGCGGUAAUACGAAGGGUGCAAGCGUUACUCGGAAUUACUGGGCGUAAAGCGUGCGUAGGUGGUUAUUUAAGUCCGUUGUGAAAGCCCUGGGCUCAACCUGGGAACUGCAGUGGAUACUGGAUGACUAGAAUGUGGUAGAGGGUAGCGGAAUUCCUGGUGUAGCAGUGAAAUGCGUAGAGAUCAGGAGGAACAUCCAUGGCGAAGGCAGCUACCUGGACCAACAUUGACACUGAGGCACGAAAGCGUGGGGAGCAAACAGG